UAACACGUAUCCAACCUGCCGAUUAUUCCGGGAUAGCCUUUCGAAAGAAAGAUUAAUACUGGAUAGCAUAACGAGAAGGCAUCUUCUUGUUAUUAAAGAAUUUCGAUAAUCGAUGGGGAUGCGUUCCAUUAGUUUGUUGGCGGGGUAACGGCCCACCAAGACAUCGAUGGAUAGGGGUUCUGAGAGGAAGGUCCCCCACAUUGGAACUGAGACACGGUCCAAACUCCUACGGGAGGCAGCAGUGAGGAAUAUUGGUCAAUGGGCGAGAGUCUGAACCAGCCAAGUAGCGUGAAGGAUGACUGCCCUAUGGGUUGUAAACUUCUUUUAUAUGGGAAUAAAGUGAGCCACGUGUGGCUUUUUGUAUGUACCAUACGAAUAAGGAUCGGCUAACUCCGUGCCAGCAGCCGCGGUAAUACGGAGGAUCCGAGCGUUAUCCGGAUUUAUUGGGUUUAAAGGGAGCGUAGGCGGAUUAUUAAGUCAGUUGUGAAAGUUUGCGGCUCAACCGUAAAAUUGCAGUUGAUACUGGUAGUCUUGAGUGCAGCAGAGGUAGGCGGAAUUCGUGGUGUAGCGGUGAAAUGCUUAGAUAUCACGAAGAACUCCGAUUGCGAAGGCAGCUUACUGGACUGUAACUGACGCUGAUGCUCGAAAGUGUGGGUAUCAAACAGGAUUAGAUACCCUGGUAGUCCACACAGUAAACGAUGAAUACUCGCUGU
rnacentral:rRNA from 1 species